CGUGUAGGCGGUUGGGUAAGUCAGAUGUGAAAGCCUUCUGCUUAACAGAAGAAGUGCAUUUGAAACUGCUCGGCUAGAGUACGGGAGAGGAGAGUGGAAUUCCCGGUGUAGAGGUGAAAUUCGUAGAUAUCGGGAGGAACACCAAUGGCGAAGGCGGCUCUCUGGUCCGAUACUGACGCUGAGACGCGAAAGCGUGGGGAGCAAACAGGAUUAGAUACCCUGGUAGUCCACGCCGUAAACGAUGGGCACUAGGUGUAGGAGGUAUUGACCCCUUCUGUGCCGAAGCUAACGCAUUAAGUGCCCCGCCUGGGGAGUACGGCCGCAAGGCUAAA
rnacentral:rRNA from 1 species